ACUCCUACGGGAGGCAGCAGUAGGGAAUAUUGGACAAUGGGCGAAAGCCUGAUCCAGCAAUGCCGCGUGAGUGAUGAAGGCCUUAGGGUUGUAAAGCUCUUUUACCCGGGAUGAUAAUGACAGUACCGGGAGAAUAAGCUCCGGCUAACUCCGUGCCAGCAGCCGCGGUAAUACGGAGGGAGCUAGCGUUGUUCGGAAUUACUGGGCGUAAAGCGCACGUAGGCGGCUAUUCAAGUCAGAGGUGAAAGCCCGGGGCUCAACCCCGGAACUGCCUUUGAAACUAGAUAGCUUGAAUCCAGGAGAGGUGAGUGGGAAUUCCGAGUGUAGAGGUGAAAUUCGUAGAUAUUCGGAAGAACACCAGUGGCGAAGGCGGCUCACUGGACUGGUAUUGACGCUGAGGUGCGAAAGCGUGGGAGCAAACAGGAUUAGAUACCCUGGUAGCGACUGA
rnacentral:rRNA from 1 species